CGACCAACAACAACAACAACAACAUCAACGUCAGGAGAAAGACGGCGAGCGGAGAGCGAGGUGAAGCUACGUCCCUCGACUAUGUGUGCGUGAUGCUAACAGGAGCGCGGCGAAUGCGAAUGGCGCUAUUGGCUGAUUCGAUAACGGAGAGAAGACGCCGUCGCCGAAGCUUGUGGAGCAUCAGCUGUAAGAUGCCUGGGUGAGCUCAUGACGCUAACGUGCUCAGCCAGACACGCCUGUUAGCAGAAGAACCGAGAGAAAUCGCUCACUUCCUG